GACGAACGCUGGCGGCGUGCCUAAUACAUGCAAGUCGAGCGCAGGAAACUGACGGAACUCUUCGGAGGGAAGGCAGUGGAAUGAGCGGCGGACGGGUGAGUAACACGUAAGGAACCUGCCUCAAGGAUUGGGAUAACUCCGAGAAAUCGGAGCUAAUACCGGAUAGUUCAACGGACCGCAUGGUCCGCUGAUGAAAGGCGCUUCGGCGUCACCUUGAGAUGGCCUUGCGGUGCAUUAGCUAGUUGGUGGGGUAACGGCCCACAAAGGCGACGAUGCAUAGCCAACCUGAGUGGUUGAUCGGCCACACUGGGACGGAGACACGGCCCAGACUCCUACGGGAGGCAGCAGUAGGGAAUCUUCCACAAUGGACGAAAGUCUGAUGGAGCAACGCCGCGUGAGUGAUGAAGGUUUUCGGAUCGUAAAACUCUGUUGUAAGGGAAGAACACGUACGAGAGGAAAUGCUCGUACCUUGACGGUACCUUACGAGAAAGCCACGGCUAACUACGUGCCAGCAGCCGCGGUAA
rnacentral:rRNA from 1 species